AAGUCGCCAGAUUCUGGGCAGAGUCGCAUGGGGGGCCUAUAUGGCAGCGGUGGCUCUUCUAGAAGUUCUGAGCUGGGGUUGGGUUCGAGGGUUUCUGUUCUGUGGUCAUCCAGGGCAGGAGGCUGGCAGGAUGCGACCCGGAGAAAUGCUACUCUCCCGGACCGUGGGGCCAGUAGCCCCAAGUGCCCUGCAUUUGCUCUUCUAACAAAGUUCUGUUUGUUGACGGACUGACCGGCUUACCGACACAAAGAUGGGAAGCAAAUGGAGAGACGGAUCAAGGCCCUUCCUCGGCAUCUGGAGGAAGCUUGGGCGAGUGUCUUGGUCGCCAGAGAUGGGGUUUCAUGAUGUUGCCCAGUUCUUGAACUCCUGAGCUCCAGUGAUCAGUCUGCCUCGGCUGCCCAAAGUGCUGCGAUUACAAGUGUGAGCCACCGCGCUGGCCUAUAAUGUGUUCUUUACUCAUGUAUAUGUUUUUUAAUUUCCAUAAUAAAUUUUUUACAACUAUU
rnacentral:lncRNA from 10 species